AUUGAAAGUGACUACAUCGGGG
rnacentral:siRNA from 1 species